rnacentral:rRNA from 1 species
AUUGAACGCUGGCGGCAUGCCUUACACAUGCAAGUCGAACGGCAGCAUGGAGAGCUUGCUCUCUGAUGGCGAGUGGCGAACGGGUGAGUAAAGCAUCGGAACGUACCGUGUAGUGGGGGAUAACGGAGCGAAAGUUACGCUAAUACCGCAUACGCACUGAGGUGGAAAGCAGGGGAUCGCAAGACCUUGCGCUAUACGAGCGCCCGAUGUCAGAUUAGCUAGUUGGUAGGGUAAAGGCCUACCAAGGCGACGAUCUGUAGCGGGUCUGAGAGGAUGAUCCGCCACACUGGGACUGAGACACGGCCCAGACUCCUACGGGAGGCAGCAGUGGGGAAUUUUGGACAAUGGGGGCAACCCUGAUCCAGCCAUGCCGCGUGAGUGAAGAAGGCCUUCGGGUUGUAAAGCUCUUUCGGCCGGGAAGAAAUCGCACAGGCUAAUACUCUGUGUGGAUGACGGUACCGGCAUAAGAAGCACCGGCUAACUACGUGCCAGCAGCCGCCGCAG